rnacentral:misc_RNA from 1 species
GAUGAAGAACGCAGCGAAAUGCGAUAAGUAAUGUGAAUUGCAGAAUUCAGUGAAUCAUCGAAUCUUUGAACGCACAUUGCGCCCUCUGGUAUUCCGGGGGGCAUGCCUGUUCGAGCGUCAUUAUAACCACUCAAGCUCUCGCUUGGUAUUGGGGUUCGCGGUUCCGCGGCCCUUAAAAUCAGUGGCGGUGCCUGUCGGCUCUACGCGUAGUAAUACUCCUCGCGAUUGAGUCCGGUAGGUCUACUUGCCAGCAACCCCCAAUUUUUACAGGUUGACCUCGGAUCAGGUAGGGAUACCCGCUGAACUUAAGCAUAUCAAUAAGCGGAGGA